UUCCGGUUGAUCCCGCCGGACCUGACUGCUAUCGGAUUGAUACUAAGCCAUGCGAGUCUUUGCAGUAAUGCAAGGCAGACGGCUCAGUAACACGUAGUCAACCUACCCUAUGGACAAGAAUAAUCUCGGGAAACUGAGCAUAAUUCUUGAUAGAUCAUAAUGCCUGGAAUGGUAUAUGGUUAAAAUGAUUCGUCGCCAUAGGAUGGGACUGCGGCCUAUCAGCUUGUUGGUGAGGUAAUGGCCCACCAAGGCGAUAACAGGUACGGGCUCUGAGAGGAGAAGCCCGGAGAUGGGUACUGAGACAAGGACCCAGGCCCUAUGGGGCGCAGCAGGCGAGAAAACUUUGCAAUGUGCGAAAGCACGACAAGGUUAGUCCGAGUGAUUUCUGCUAAAGAGAUCUUUUGCUAGUUAUAAAACCACUAGUGAAUAAGGGGUGGGCAAGUUCUGGUGUCAGCCGCCGCGGUAAAACCAGCACCUCAAGUGGUCAGGAUGAUUAUUGGGCCUAAAGCAUCCGUAGCCGGCUCUGUAAGUUUUCGGUUAAAUCUAUACGCUCAACGUAUGGGCUGCCGAAAAUACUGUAGAGAUAGGGAGUGGGAGAGGUAGACGGUACUCGGUAGGAAGGGGUAAAAUCCUUUGAUCUAUCGAUGACCACCUGUGGCGAAGGCGGUCUACCAGAACACGUUCGACGGUGAGGGAUGAAAGCUGGGGGAGCAAACCGGAUUAGAUACCCGGGUAGUCCCAGCUGUAAACGAUGCAGACUCGAUGAUGCAUUGGCAUAUAGCCAGUGCAGUGUCGCAGGGAAGCCGUUAAGUCUGCCGCCUGGGAAGUACGUACGCAAGUAUGAAACUUAAAGGAAUUGGCGGGGGAGCACCACAAGGGGUGAAGCCUGCGGUUCAAUUGGAUUCAACGCCGGG
rnacentral:rRNA from 1 species